UAGGGAAUCUUCGGCAAUGGGGGGAACCCUGACCGAGCAACGCCGCGUGAGUGAAGAAGGUUUUCGGAUCGUAAAGCUCUGUUGUUAAGGAAGAACGAGUGUGAGAAUGGAAAGUUCAUACUGUGACGGUACUUAACCAGAAAGGGACGGCUAACUACGUGCCAGCAGCCGCGGUAAUACGUAGGUCCCGAGCGUUGUCCGGAUUUAUUGGGCGUAAAGCGAGCGCAGGCGGUUAGAUAAGUCUGAAGUUAAAGGCAGUGGCUCAACCAUUGUAGGCUUUGGAAACUGUUUAACUUGAGUGCAGAAGGGGAGGGUGGAAUUCCAUGUGUAGCGGUGAAAUGCGUAGAUAUAUGGAAGAACACCGGUGGCGAAAGCGGCUCUCUGGUCUGUAACUGACGCUGAGGCUCGAAAGCGUGGGGAGCGAACAGG
rnacentral:rRNA from 1 species